rnacentral:tRNA from 1 species
GCCUAGCUGGCUUAGCAAGCAGAGCAUGUGACUCUUGAUCCCAGGGUUGUGAGUUCAAGCCUCACGUUGGGGG